AUGAUCCCCUGCAAGCAGUGUCCCCCCCGACCCGGCCCCCGGGACUCGGCCUCUGGCUGGCCUGGACUGCGCUUCGGGACACUGCUCUGGGACACGCCCUCCACAGCUGCACUGAGGCCCCUCGCAGCCCGCAACGGGCCUGGCACGGCUUCGGACCCUGGUGGCCAGGCCCCGUCAGGCCGGCUUCCGCAGCCUCCAGCUGUAUUCCGUGCCCUUAGCUCUGUAAACACGGGAAAACACGUGGAAACCAUUUCCACCACUGGAGCCAAAAACAUAAUGUCCUGCAAGGCCCGGCCACCACACCCCCACGCCCAGAGGCUGCAGGACCUUCCGUAUCCAGGAAGUGCAGGUCCGUCUCGGUGGCAGGUGGCUGGAAGUGACUCCGAAUCAAGCCCCUGUGGCUCGCGGGCCGUGAGAGGCCCUGGGGGUGAAGUCAAGGUUGGCGGAGGAGCACCCGCCUUCCCAGCCCCUAAACGCUGGGAAGGUUCCUUGGGAAUCCAGCCCCGGUCGCCGUGGAGACCACGGCAGCCAGGAACCCGUCACACCCUGGAGCGCCCACAACAGUCACGGUAAGCGGGGGCCCCAGUGCGUGAAGAUCCAUCCAGCACUUGGGGUUGAACCUGGUGACGGAGCUUCCAUUUGCUGUCAACUGUACAAAAGCGGAGGAGAAAGAGGCAGCCAGGCAGGCUGCAUUCUGCCUGUCGACCCUGCCCCAUCCCUGGUGGCCGUGUUGAAGAGAUUCUGAAGUUCAGUCCGGCCCAGAGGGAGGAGCCUGGUGGCCUAGCAGCGGCUGCUCCGGGCAAGGAGGCCUUGACGGUGGUGUGCGAAGCCUGGUGUUGGCCGUGGCCGUGGCCAGUCAGAGCGGGUAGCAAUCCAGCGGAGGACGGCAGGCCGGCCCUGGCUGGAGAGCACCGCACAGACGGGCAGGAAGGGCCCCGAUGUAACAGACGCCACCCGGGGCCUGGCAACGCUGACCGGUCCCAUCCCCUCCUCCCCCACCCCGCGGAGGAGGGACCUGGGGGGCAGG
rnacentral:lncRNA from 1 species